GCUAAUUGAAGUGUAUUAAGAGCAGUGCACAAAUAAAAAAUAAAAUAUGAAAGCAUAUUAUAUAAUUUUAGAGAUUUCAUCAUUAUUAUUAAUUGAUCGUCAUUAUAAAUAAAUUUUAGUUUUCUUUAGAAUUUACAGAUAUCUCCAUGAUUCAUUUAUGGCCGACUACAAAAGAAUGAAUGCAAGUCAUCUCCCUACGACACUUACAAUUCUUCCCUUAUCUACAACUCUUUCAACUUCUGCACUUUUUAAAAAAAUAAAAUAAAAAAAGAACAAAAAAAUUAAGUAAUUUUGAAUCGCUUAAAGUUUCUGACUUAAAGCGAAACACGGGUCUUUAUUGGCUUUAACUUCAAACCCAUGCUUUCAGGAGAGAGAAGCUCUGGCGAGAUGCAAGAUGGACUGAGUGGGCUCCUUGGGCUGCCACUGAAUUGGCAUGGCUUGUACAACCCAUAACCCAUGAAGAAGUACCCCAUAGGUAUUAACAUUGCAAGUGGCUGUUCUUCUGUUACCAUUGAUCCGCAAGCCUGGACCUAUACAAUUACAGGAUCUUUUGCAUAGUUAUUCAAAUAAUCAUCAGAAUAAAACAUCCAAUUUUCAAUAUAGCAGUUACUUUGAAGCUAAAGAAUUAACCAUAAACAAGGAUACAACAUGAAAUUUACCAAUUAAUAAAUAUCAUCAAUCAAGCAUAGAAUUGAAAUCCUUGCAUCUUAAGCAUUAUACAAACAUUCUUAAAAACUGUGACACGCACCUCAACCAAAGCACUAAAUUUUUUAUCCAACUUUGAGAUCAUGUGAAGAGCCUCAGAAUGGAAAGGAGAGUUAUCGCCAACAAAAACAAGAGUGCGACAUCUUAAUCUCUUCAACCCGCUAGUGAGAUCAGGUCUCCUGCAGGUUAGCGAGACAGUAGAACUUCAGAUAUCUAAAUUAUGCAGAUACAAGUGAGUAAUCCUUCACAAAAUUUCAUACCUAUUAAUUGCUUGGAGAAACCUCAAAACGUUUGUGCUCUGCCUCUCCUCAAGCAACUGAAAAAACAAACAAAUCAAAGAAUCAACUAAUUGCCACCUUUCUAAAAACCAUAAUAUAAAAAUGACUUCAAAAAAACAAAGAUAAAAAAUUAGAUCGAAGGUAAUGCACAAUUCAGCACUAACUUUUCUGCAUGCUUGAACUAUAUCUGAUUCCGGAGCUUCUGCAGUACCACGAACUUCCUGUUUCAAUUUUCUAUCUAAUCACUCAACCAAUCUAAACUGAGCAACUAUUUUAUUGCAUUGAAAAAUAAACAUUACUAGGUCAUGAAGCACUAGCAAUCUAGAAUACCUUGCUGAAGUACCGCUGAAGCAAAAACUCCUCAACCAAUCCACACAUGCCAUAGAAAUAUAGCAAAUUCGACAUCACCUGUGGAACAUUAAUUAUGUCAAUCACACGUGGAACAUAAACUAUGUCAAUCAAGAAAUGAAAAGCUACUGGUUUCCGGUAUUAAAUUAACAGUAACUUUUAGGAAGAGAAACCUUGUUAUAUAACCAUUCAGUCCAAGAGGGAGCUUUACAUAAAGGGGAUACAAGUAUCAAUCCAAGAACGCGCUCUCUAUAUUUCAUCUGUAAUGCAAAAUCUUGAUUAAUUAAAAAUGGUAGGAGACAUGUAGAAAAUAUUACUCACAACAUUCCAGGAAGGAACGUACGGCAAAUAGGGUAAGGACGUACGCACCGGCCAUCACCCCCAUGCACAUCACUGCACCAAGCCCAAAAAAAUUGAGAACCUCAAUGAUCUGAUCUGCUAAGUCAUCAACAGAAGGCACAGGAUCAUUGGGGCAAAUUGGAGCAGCUCCCAACUGCAAGAACUCUUGUACAAGUGCCAGAAAAGAAAAAAAUGUGACUAAUUUACCAGUUACAGGAUGCAUGAUGCUGUUAAAAGGUAAAAUAACUUAUGAUAACAGCUAAUAUAUCAUGCAAUCCCAUUCAGUCGACCAUUUACUGACCUCAUGUCCAGGAGGACUAAUGUGGUAAAUG
rnacentral:misc_RNA from 1 species